CGGACGGGUGAGUAACGCGUGAGAAUUCGCCUUUAGGAGGGGGAUAACGGAUGGAAACAUUCGCUAAAACCCCAUGUGCCCUYGGGUGAAAAAGAGAAAGUAAGUCAUACUGAUUUAUCUCUGCCUGAAGAGAAGCUCGCGGCUGAUUAGCUAGUUGGUAGGGUAAAGGCCUACCAAGGCGACGAUCAGUAGCUGGUCUGAGAGGACGAUCAGCCACACUGGAACUGAGACACGGUCCAGACUCCUACGGGAGGCAGCAGUGAGGAAUUUUCUGCAAUGGGCGAAAGCCUGACAGAGCAAUACCGCGUGGGGGAUGAAGACUUACUGAGUUGUAAACCUCGGUACCCUAAGGAAGAAGAUAUGACGGUACUUAGGGUGGAAAGCAUCGGCUAACUCCGUGCCAGCAGCCGCGGUAAGACGGGGGAUGCAAGUGUUAUCCGGAUUUACUGGGCGUAAAGCGUCUGCAGGUGGUUUCUUAAGUCUACUGUUAAAUCUUGAGGCUCAACCUCAAAUCUGCAGUAGAAACUAGGAGACUUGAGUAUAGUAGGGGUAGAGGGAAUUUCCAGUGGAGCGGUGAAAUGCGUAGAUAUUGGAAAGAACACCGAUGGCGAAGGCACUCUACUGGGCUAUUACUG
rnacentral:rRNA from 1 species